GAUGAACGCUGGCGGCGUGCCUAAUACAUGCAAGUCGAGCGAACAGACCAGGAGCUUGCUCCUCUGACGUUAGCGGCGGACGGGAGAGUAAAACGUGGAUAACCUACCUAUAAGACUGGGAUAACUUCGUGAAACCGGUGCUAAUACCGGAUAAUAUAUUGAACCGCAUGGUUCAAUAGCGAAAGACGGUUUUGCUGUCACUUAUAGAUGGAUCCGUGCUGCAUUAGCUAGUUGGUAAGGUAACGGCUUCCCAAGGCAACGCUGGGUAGCCGACCUGACAGGGGGUACGGCCACAGUGGAACUGAGAGGCGGUCCUGACUCCGACGGGAGGCAGCAAUAGGGACUCUUCCGCAAUGGGCGGAAGCCUGACGGAGCGACGGCGCGUGGGUGAUGAAGGUCUGCGGAUCGUAUAACUCUGUUAUUGGUGAAGACCAAAUGUAUAAGUAACUAUGCACGUCUUGACGGUACCUAAACAGGAAGCCACGGCUAACUACGUG
rnacentral:rRNA from 1 species